rnacentral:rRNA from 1 species
GUGAGGAAUAUUGUGCAAUGGAGGCAACUCUGACGCAGCCAUGCCGCGUGCAGGAAGAAGGCGCUACGCGUUGUAAACUGCUUUUAACCGGGAAGAAACCCCAGGACGUGUCCUGGGUUGACGGUACCGGAGGAAUAAGCACCGGCUAACUUCGUGCCAGCAGCCGCGGUAAUACGAAGGGUGCAAGCGUUAUCCGGAUUCAUUGGGUUUAAAGGGUGCGUAGGCGGAGCGUUAAGUCAGUGGUGAAAUCCUGCAGCUUAACUGUAGACUUGCCAUUGAUACUGGCGCUCUUGAGUGCGCUUGAAGUGGGCGGAAUGUGCCGUGUAGCGGUGAAAUGCUUAGAUAUGGCACAGAACACCAAUUGCGAAGGCAGCUCACUAAGGCGAUACUGACGCUGAGGCACGAAAGCGUGGGGAUCGAACAGGAUUAGAAACCCGAGUAGUCC